rnacentral:rRNA from 1 species
GCGAACGCUGGCGGCAGGCCUAACACAUGCAAGUCGAGCGGCCGUAGCAAUACGGCAGCGGCAGACGGGAGAGUAACACGUGGGAACGCGCCCUUCGGUUCGGAAUAACUCAGGGAAACUUGAGCUAAUACCGGAUACGCCCUAACGGGAAAGAUUUAUUGCCGAAGGAACGGCCGCGUCCGAUUAGCUAGUUGGUGAGGUAACGGCUCACCAAGGCGACGAUCGGUAGCUGGUCUGAGAGGANGACCAGCCUCAUUGGGACUGAGACACGGCCCAAACUCCUACGGGAGGCAGCAGUGGGGAAGUAUUGGACAAUGGGCGCAAGCCUGAUCCAGCCAUGCCGCGUGGAUGAUGAAGGCCCUAGGGUUGUAAAGUCCUUUUAAC